UACGGAGGAUGCAAGCGUUAUCCGGAAUGAUUGGGCGUAAAGCGUCCGCAGGUGGCAAUGUAAGUCUGCUGUCAAAGCGUCUGGCUCAACCAGAUAAAGGCAGUGGAAACUACAUAGCUAGAGUAAGGUAGGGGUAGAGGGAAUUCCUGGUGUAGCGGUGAAAUGCGUAGAUAUCAGGAGGAACACCAAUGGCGAAGGCAGCUCGCUGGGACGGUACUGACGCUGAGGCGCGAAAGCGUGGGGAGCAAACAGG
rnacentral:rRNA from 1 species